UACGAACCGUACGAACGUUAUUCGGAAUUACUGGGCUUAAAGGGUGCGUAGGCGGCGCGGAAAGUAUGGUGUGAAAUCCCUCGGCUCAACCGAGGAACUGCGCUCUAAACUACCGUGCUCGAGGGAGGUAGAGGUGAGCGGAACUGAGGGUGGAGCGGUGAAAUGCGUUGAUAUCCUCAGGAACACCGGUGGCGAAAGCGGCUCACUGGACCUCUUCUGACGCUGAGGCACGAAAGCUAGGGUAGCGAACGGG
rnacentral:rRNA from 1 species